AUGGCCAUAUCAUGUUGAAACACCAGUCCUCAUACAAUCACUGAAGUUAAGCAAUAUUGAGCCUGGUCAGUACCUAGAUGGGGGCCCACUUGGGAAUACCCAGUACUGUAA